rnacentral:rRNA from 1 species
GACGAACGCUGGCGGCGUGCUUAACACAUGCAAGUCGAACGGAAAGGCCCUGCUUUUGUGGGGUGCUCGAGUGGCGAACGGGUGAGUAACACGUGAGUAACCUGCCCUUUACUUUGGGAUAACUUCAGGAAACUGGGGCUAAUACCGGAUAUGAGCUCCUGCUGCAUGGUGGGGGUUGGAACGUUUCGGCGGUUGGGGAUGGACUCGCGGCUUAUCAGCUUGUUGGUGGGGUAGUGGCUUACCAAGGCUUUGACGGGUAGCCGGCCUGAGAGGGUGACCGGCAACAUUGGGAAGGAGAUACGGCCCAGAAUCCUAAGGGAGGCAGCAGUGGGGAAUAUUGCACAAUGGGCGGGAGCCUGAUGCAGCAACGCCGCGUGCGGGAUGACGGCCUUCGGGUUGUAAACCGCUUUCGCCUGUGACGAAGCGUGAGUGACGGUAAUGGGUAAAGAAGCACCGGCUAACUACGUG